ensembl:snRNA U1 U1 spliceosomal RNA
AUGCUCGCUCAGGUGAAUACCUCACAAUGAUCAUGAAGGUGGUUUUCCCAGGGAGAGGUUUAUCUACUGCACUCUGCUUGUGCUGAUCCCUGCAAUUUCCCCAAAUUCGGGAAACUCGACUGCAUAAUUUGUGAUAGUGGAGCAUUUGCACUCAG